GUGCCAGCCGCCGCGGUAAUACGGAGGGUGCAAGCGUUACUCGGAAUCACUGGGCGUAAAGGGCGCGUAGGCGGCUUGGUAAGUUGGAUGUGAAAGCCCACGGCUCAACCGUGGAACUGCGUCCAAAACUGCCAGGCUAGAGUCCGGGAGAGGCAGAUGGAAUUGGUGGUGUAGGGGUAAAAUCCGUAGAGAUCACCAGGAAUACCCAUUGCGAAGGCGAUCUGCUGGAACGGUACUGACGCUGAGGCGCGAAAGCGUGGGGAGCAAACAGGAUUAGAUACCCUGGUAGUCCACGCCCUAAACGAUGGAUGCUAGUCGUUGGGAAGCUAGUCUUCCCAGUGAUGCAGCUAACGCAUUAAGCAUCCCGCCUGGGGAGUACGGCCGCAAGGCUAAAACUCAAAGGAAUAGACGGGGACCCGCACAAGCGGUGGAGCAUGUGGUUUAAUUCGAAGAUACGCGAAGAACCUUACCUGGGCUUGACAUCCCUGGAAUCCCUCAGAGAUGGGGGAGUGCCUCCUUAUGGAGGAGCCAGGUGACAGGUGCUGCACGGCUGUCGUCAGCUCGUGCCGUGAGGUGUUCGGUUAAGUCCGGCAACGAGCGCAACCCCUGCCGCUAGUUACUAACGGGUAAAGCCGAGGACUCUAGCGGGACUGCCCGUGUUAAGCGGGAGGAAGGAGGGGACGACGUCAAGUCCGUAUGGCCCUUAUGCCCAGGGCUGCACACGUGCUACAAUGGGCGGUACAGAGGGUUGCGAAUCCGCAAGGAGGAGCUAAUCCCAGAAAACCGCCCCCAGUUCGGAUUGCGCUCUGCAACUCGAGCGCAUGAAGUCGGAAUCGGUAGUAAAGGCGCAUCAGCUACGGCGCCUUGAAUACGUUCCCGGGUCCUGUACACACCGCCCGUCGCAUCACGGGAGCUGGCUGCACCAGAAGUCACCUUACCCAACCGGCGACGGAGGGGGGUGCCCAGGGUGUGGCUGGUGACUGGGAUGAAGUCGUAACAAGGUAGCC
rnacentral:rRNA from 1 species